GCCGAAGUGGUGGAAUUGGCAGACGCGCUGGACUCAAAAUCCUGUGUCCGUAGGGACGUGCGGGUUCGACUCCCGCCUUCGGCACCA
rnacentral:tRNA from 1 species